UAUGAAGGGUGCAAGCGUUACUCGGAAUUACUGGGCGUAAAGCGUGCGUAGGUGGUUGUUUAAGUCCGUUGUGAAAGCCCUGGGCUCAACCUGGGAAUUGCAGUGGAUACUGGGCAACUAGAGUGUGGUAGAGGGUAGUGGAAUUCCCGGUGUAGCAGUGAAAUGCGUAGAGAUCGGGAGGAACAUCUGUGGCGAAGGCGACUACCUGGACCAACACUGACACUGAGGCACGAAAGCGUGGGGAGCAAACAGG
rnacentral:rRNA from 1 species